GAGGGUAUGACUCAGUGGUAAAGGGCUUGCUUAGCAUGUAUGAAGUCCUGGGUUCCAUCCCCAAUACCUCCA
rnacentral:tRNA from 1 species